AUGCUGCCUAGAGGGACUGGUGGCUUUAGACGAUCCACCAAUCUCUACUGCUCGACACAUGAGAUCCUGGGGCCAAAAGUCUGGAGGUUUCAGGAUAAGGCAGGCACGAGUCAGGAUAAGAAAAGCAGAGAUAGGAGGGGAAAGUCUGGGGAUUGGGACAGCUCUGAAAGGGCAAAAGGGUGAGAGAAGAACGUUUGCAAGCGACAGGUGAAAUGAGCACUCUGGGAUUUGACUUUCGACAGCUCCAAGGCGCCCUCCCCCCACCCACGAGACAGCAAAGAUGGCGCCAGGCCCGCGCAGCUGGAGGUCACCGGCACGCGGAAGGCGCAGCCCUGACGCGCGGGGAUACGGGGGCAAGGGAGGGCGUGAGGACCCAGGUGGCAGUACGCAAGUGUAAGAGGCAGCAGUGUUAUUCAUAACUGGAGCAUCCUUUUCUGAGACAUUAUAUAUGAAGACCUUGAUGACUUCUUGAAUGUCUUGGUUCAUGGCUGCAGCUAAUAGAGCUACAGAAGGAGCCCUGAACCCAAUUUCUUCCUGUGACUCCAUCCCUCAACUCCUAGCGAUCUCCGGGACCUCAUUUCUGCCUAGCAACAUCACAACCAAUCAAGAUGCAAUUAGGCCUGGCAGUUCGGCUCAUCCUUCACUGGGAUUGGCUGCUGGCGGUGAGCGCAUCCUAAGUUUUCAUUGGCUGACGGCCACCUGUAUGGAAAUGAGAAUGACAGGGGACUCUCAGAGCCUUUUCUGCGACGUGGACCUGUGGCUUACUGCACUGAAACCUGCAAGCUCAGAGCCAGAACCCCUGGGCUUUUUUUCUGCCUUCUCUCCCUGUUCUUCACCCAAAGAGAUAUCUCUAACUUUUCCCUCAGCGCCUCUGUCUGAGGCCCAGUCGGAAAGAAAUUCGCAAAAAAUAAG
rnacentral:lncRNA from 1 species